rnacentral:rRNA from 1 species
UACAGAGGUCCCGAGCGUUGUUCGGAUUCAUUGGGCGUAAAGGGUGUGUAGGAGGUCAGGCAAGUCGGGUGUGAAAUCUCGCCGCUUAACGGCGAAAUGGCACUCGAAACUGCUUGGCUCGAGGAUUGGAGGGGGAGGCGGAAUUCAUGGUGUAGCAGUGAAAUGCGUAGAUAUCAUGAGGAACACCGGUGGCGUAGGCGGCCUCCUGGAAAAUUCCUGACUCUGAAACACGAAAGCCAGGGGAGCAAACGGG